rnacentral:rRNA from 1 species
UACGAGGGGGGCAAAUGUUGUUCGGAAUCACUGGGCGUAAAGGGAGCGUAGGCGGGUUUCUAAGUCAGGUGUUUAAUCCCGGGGCCCAACCCCGGACAGGCACUUGAAACUGGGAAUCUUGAAUAGUGGAGAGGUCAGUGGAAUUGGGGGUGUAGCGGUGGAAUGCGUAGAGAUCCCCAAGAACACCAAUUGCGAAGGCAGCUUACUAUGGUGUCAUUGACGCUGAGGCACGAAAGCGUGGGGAUCAAACAGG